CUACGGAGGGUGCAAGCGUUACUCGGAAUCACUGGGCGUAAAGCGCGCGCAGGCGGCUUGAUAAGUUGGAUGUGAAAGCCUACGGCUCAACCGUAGAACUGCAUCCAAAACUGUCAAGCUAGAGUCUGGGAGGGGAAGAUGGAAUUAGUUGUGUAGGGGUAAAAUCCGUAGAGAUAACUAGGAAUACCAAAAGCGAAGGCGAUCUUCUGGAACAGUACUGACGCCGAGGCGCGAAAGCGUGGGGAGCAAACAGGAUUAGAUACCCUAGUAGUCC
rnacentral:rRNA from 1 species